rnacentral:misc_RNA from 1 species
GGGUCAUCCAUCUCAGUUUGAGAAUUGGACUUGAGUUGAGAAUCUGCUGAAAAAUAUCUCUUUACAACACCCUCUUUAACAACACUUGAUUCUUCACUUCCAUUUGGCUGUUCAUGUUUCUCGGAGAGGUCAGAAGCAGCAUUGCCAUUGUGAUACACAAAAUCAGAAAACCUUGGAGAAACCCCAGUUGAAAAAGAUCCAUUUUGAGAAAAAACAUCUUGUACACUAUGAAAAUCAUCCUCACAGUCAGAUUCAACC